CGUUCAGGCGGUUUGGCAAGUCGGGCAUGAAAUCCUUCGGCUCAACCGGGGGAGGUUGUCCGAUACUGUCAGACUAGAGGGCAGUAGAGGGUGGUGGAAUUCCGGGUGUAGUGGUGAAAUGCGUAGAGAUCCGGAGGAACACCAGUGGCGAAAGCGGCCACCCGGACUGCACCUGACGCUCAAACGCGAAAGCUAGGGGAGCGAACGGGAUUAGAAACCCCGGUAGUCCUAGCUAUAAACGAUGUUGACUAGGUGUCGGCGGUCUAAACCCCGUCGGUGCCGGAGCCAACGCAUUAAGUCAACCGCCUGGGGACUACGGCCGCAAGGUUAA
rnacentral:rRNA from 1 species